ACAUAUGUAACUAACCUGCACAUUGUGCACAUGUACCCUAAAACUUAAAGUAUAAUAAAAAAAAAAAGUUACUCUCACUGAAGUUCUCUCUUGCCCAUUUCAAUCCCUACUCCCAUCUCCAGCCCUAAGCAAUACUGCUCUGAUAUUCUGUCUGUAUAAAUUUCCCAUCUGUGUAAUAGAAAUGGAAUCAUACAAUAUAUUAUAUUGAGGUCUGACUUUAAUCAUUUAGUUACUAUUUUUGAAGUUAAUUGAUGCUUUAGCUUGUGCCGGUCAUGUGUUUUCCUUUUCAUUGCUUCAUAGUCCAUUGUGUGGAUAUAUAAACAGUGUUUAUUCAUUCAUCAGUUGAUGGACAUUUAAUUAUUUCUGUUUUUUGUAUUAUGAAUAAUGCUGCUUUGAGCAUUCAUAAUACAGUCAUGUAAUGUAUAAUAACAUUUUGGUCAAUGAUGGAUAGCAUGUAUGAUGGCAGUCCCAUAAGAUUAUGAUAGAGUUUAAAAAUUCCUAUCACCUAGUGUCUUGUAGCUGUCACAAGUGUGUAGCGUAACACAUUAGACAGGCAUCAGUGAUGAUGCCGAUGGAAAGGAAUCUACUGGUUUUCCAGUUAUGUUAAAGUACUGUAUAGAACAUACAACUAUGUGCAGUAUAUAAUACUUGGUAGUGAAAAUAAAUGACUAUGUUCCUGGUUUAUGUAUUUACUGUGCUAUACUUUCUAUAAUUAUUUGAGAAUAUAUUCUAUCUGCGUAUUAAAACAAACCACUUACCUGUAAAACAGCCUCAAGUAGGCCUUUGAGGAUGUAUGCUAGAAGGUGUUGUUAUCGUAAGAGAUGACAGCACCAUGUGUGUUUCUGCCCCUUCCAGUGGGACAAGAUGUGGAUUCAGAAGGCAGUGACAUUGAUGAUCCUAAUCCUGUGUAGGUCUAGGCUGAUGUGUGUGUCUGAGCCUCAGCUGUUAACAAAAAAAGUUUAAAAUUUAAAACUUAAAUUUUAAAAUAGAAAAAAUAUAGAAUAAUAUUUUAAAAAUUUGCACAGCUGUACAAUAUGUUUAUGUUUUAAGGUAAGUGGUAUUACAAAAUAGUUGUUUUUAAAAUUGUUUAAGUUUAUAAAUUUUAAAUGUUACAGUAGGCUAAGGUUAAUUGUUGAGUAAAUAAAAAUAGAUUUCUAUAAAUUUAGGGUAGUCUAAAGAUACAAUGUUCAUAAAGUCUAUAGUAGUGUACAGUAAGGUCCUAGGCCUUCACAUUCACUCACCAUUCACUCACCGAAUCAUCCAGAGCAACGUCCAGUCCUUUAAGCUCUGUUCAUGGUAAAGUGCCCUAUACAGAUGUACUAAUUUUUAUAUUUUAUACCAUAUUUUAUUGUAGCUUUUCUAUAUUUAGAUUUUAGAUAUAUAAAUGCUUACCGUUUUGUUACCUUUGCCUGCAGUAUUCAGUACAGUUACAUGUUGUACAGUUUGAAGCCCAGAGCAAUUGGCUGUAUCAUACAGCCUAGGUGUAUAGGGGGCUAUGCCAUCCAGGUUUAUGUAAGUGCACUCUAUGAUGUCUGCGUAAUUACUACAUCACUUAACGAUGCAUUUCUCAGAACACAUCACUGUCGUUAAGAGACACAUGUCUGUACAAAUGACUUUGGAGAAUAUGCUUUCAGUUCACUUGGAGCAUUCCUGGGUGUGGAUUUGCUGGACCAAAUGGUAAGUUCAAAUUUAAUUUUUUUUAAGAAACAAGAAAGCUAUCUUCUAAAUUAGCUGUGCCAAUGUACAUUUCUACCGUGCUGCAUAGUACCAAUUUCAUACAGUGUAUGAAAUUGGUACACUGUAUGGUAAGCCCUAGCAUGUAAGAAAUGAAUAAAGUAACACAUAUAAAGAUUAGUAUAAAGCAAAUGAGAUUAUUAUUGUUGUUAUUGUCUUUGUCAGAUUCUCAGAAUAAUUAAGAAUAUAUUUUUAUAUAAAUGUGCUUGGCAACAUAGCUGAAAACAGCGUUAGUAGUUAUAUACUUUUAUCAGUAACAAAGACAUAAAUUUUCCGGGAGAAAAACACUUGUAAUAACAAUGUCAGAAUUAACAUACAAAUUCUGCAAAACAUUUUUGGCAGUUUAAUUGGGGCAGUGUUUUGUAGACAAAUGAACAACUUAAGUAAGGGGAAUCAACAAAACUUGGGUUUCAAAAGUUAUCUGGGUUUAGAGUGUGAAACUUCGUCGGAGGACACACACCUUGCGUGAAUGAGAUGCCUCGGUGUGUGUGGACAUGUUGGAGGUACAGCAUAAUGGUGGCUUCCUCCAGAAAGGGACAUUUGGGGGAGCACCAAUGGCUCCUGUCUCACAGUGGAUUCAUUCCACCUAGACAACACAGCCUGAUGUGGCAUGGACAUGAAUGGAGGUCAAAUGGGCAGUAGCUGAGAGGAUCAGCCCUGACAAGGGCCAGGGUGAAAGACCUGGGAGUCUCUUCAGGUGCAAAGUCUUCAGUUGAAAAAAGGAGGUGGUCACAGGAGAUACUGAGCUGGAUCAAUAAAGUGCAGGAGAGAGAGUUGUUGGCCCUGGGGAGCGAGUAGUAUGGACUCUUAAGUUUUCUCCUCCUUCCAUUAAUUUCUCUUCCAGUGCAGACUUCAGUCUUAGACUUCCCAGCUGCCUUGAGGGAUUGGAUGAGCCUUGGCCAGCUCUUGAAGGAAACAAUAAAAUCACUUUAAUGUGCUACUUUUCAUUUUGAAGUCAUUACAGUAUCAUUUGCAAAACUCAACAAGGAAAGAUGCCUGUGGAUGGCCGUGUUCUGGGAGUCACUGUGAUGAGGUGCUGCCUGCUUUCGCCCAACCUGAUCUGGGGCUCAGACAGCUAACAGGCCCGAGUGGCUAGGAGGUUCUCACACGUCCCUGAGGAACUAGAGAGGAACGCCUCUGGGAAGCCCAGCCAGAGCCAACCGGAAGGGCCUUUUGGUGAAGUCUGACAUCCUACAUUAGUUUCUCUGGACCUGGAGCUCCCUGGAUAAAUCAUGAACAGAAGCAUCUAUGACCGACAGUUGCUCUGUGUCCUUCUAGCCUCGCAGGAGUUUCCAGCUCAUGAGGGCAGAGGAGAUGAAGAGAGGCCGAUCGACGUGAGGGUUGUGCAGGCGGCCCCUCUGAGGUGUGACUCCAGUAAGUACUCUGGAAUUACUUGCUGAGAAAGAAAAGUCUGGAUGCCAAGAAAGGUGUGACAUCCUUGCUGGCUUCAAUGUGAAGAGCCACCCUGAUUCUGGGAUUCUGAUAGGAAUAAGGUAGAUGAUGCAUAUCUGAACCUGGAAACCGCUUCCCACUGUAGAGCGUGUCUGAGUCAUGUCCCUUAGCUUCAGCAGAGCAGAUCCAGCAGGCUCUGAGCUUGGCCUCUUUGCCUGGAGCGAGACCUCUAGGUAAUGUCUCCAGAGAGGGUGGCACAAAGGAUCCUGGAUCUCCUGAUCACAGCAGCCCAAGAGUGCCGUGCGUGCACCAUGGCUCAAGAAGAAGACUUAAAAAGGGGAAACUCCUCCUGAGGGUGCUGUAGGAGACAUCUGCAAAAAAGAAGAUGCUGGCAAUAUGCCAUCAACCUCAGAGGGGAGUAUUUACCCUGAAAUGGCUCACUUCCUGAGGAACAAACUUGCUGGAUCUAGUGUACGGAAACCUGAUUCUGGGUUCCUUUGGGAAGGAGCAUUACGGGCCUGCUCCUGGACCACCUCAUAUCACCAGCACCCUCUACCCAAGGUCCUGGAGCCAACACUGGAGUAAAAGAGCACAAGAGAACUCCUUAGAGGUGGAAGGAUACCCUCUGAGGUCAAAUCAUUGGGCUUGUGGCCAUGAGACCACAGACUUUGCCUAGCUUCCAGUGACUGUCCGAGAUGACCUGUGGAGUGCACCGCCUGUACUUGGACAUCACUGUCUUUUCCGAUCCAUACCCGUCAUCCUUGGAAUUUCCCCUGCAUCCAAACCUGUUCCUGAUACAGGUGUGAGUAAUGAAUAACCCUAAGGAAUAUCUUGGAUGUCUUCACGGGGCUUAUGACUUAUUCUGAGGUUUACAAAAUAGAGGCCCCCAGCUGAGCAAAGAGAGGGCUGCAGCGCCGAGGGAACAGCUGCCGGACUCACCGGAGAGGCCUCCUGGAGCACGCCGGGACCCCCUCCACCCCCUGGCUUUGGCUGCAUCCAUGGCUAGUUUGCCUGAACUAUAUCUGAGCCACUGAGAGUAUUUAUUAAGCAGAGAAUAAUUUUGAGUUUCACUUUUAUAACUUUUGUUUCAAAAGUUGUUUUGGAUAAUUUAAUGAAAUGACUGUAAACCAGAAUUCCCCUUUUCAUUAUUUCUUUGUGUCGAUAUAAAAAGAGUUGAUGAUUUUAAAAGCCAGUGAGAUGUCCCUGUCUGUGGAUGUCAGCGGGAGCGUGGGGUCUGAAGCCUUUCUCUGGUGGCUGUCCAGGAAGAUUGCCCCAGCUUGCACUCCCUUUUGGCGGGUUCCAGAGCCUUCCAUUUGAAAGGAGCAUCUCUCCCCACUCUGCCCCACCCAGCACCAGCUCUUCUGGAACCCACUGACUUCCUAAACACUUUCUUCCUCCUUCACCUCAUUGAAUUCAAGACUUUAGAAAACAGCCAAAAACUCUAGAGGUGGGGGUGGGUGUGAUCUGGAAAUCCCUGCUGUAAUCUUUUUAAGGGAAUCCACUGGAAAUUAUUAAUUUAUGUUUUAAAUAAAACCAUUCCUUACUUCACAGAAUAUUAAGCCACUCACUUUUUAACAGAACUUUGAGAUAUAAUUAAAAUGCCGUAAAUUUCACCCCCACACAGUGUACAGUUCCAAGGUUUCCAAUAUAGUCACAGAAGUCUCUGCAACAAUUACCACAAUUUUAGACAUGAAGACCAUUUGUUGGCAGCCCUACCUGUAUCUAUGUGUAUAUAUAUAAUUUUAAUAUUGGAUUAGAUGUUAUAGUAUUUAAUAUUGUACUGUUACCUAUUUGUGUCUUUAUAUUGCUGUUUUUUAUUCAGGUGAAUAAUAAUUAUCUCCAUAUAGUCAUACAUUUAUAUAGGGUUAAAACAUACCUUUUUACAAUUCAAUAAAUUAAAUUGGCCAGGCGUGGUGGCUCAUGCCUGUAAUCCCAGCACUUUGGGAGGCCGAGGGGGGCGGAUCACCUGAGGCCAAGAGUUCGAGACCAGCCUAGCCAACAUGGCGAAACUCUGUCU
rnacentral:lncRNA from 1 species